UUUUUAAAUUGGCAGAGUUGUCACGCGGCCCCACCCAUAUCUGUAUAUGAAACAUGUGUUUUUUGACCUAUACUUUAUUAAUUAUAACCCUUGAUGAGAUUUCACAGCUCGUAGUUAAGAACUGUGUCUGCAAGACAUGCCAAAACGAAUAUUACAUACAAAAGCACGAGUAUUAAAUCUGACUGAGUACUUUCAUUUUCAACAUAUUCUCGUAACGCUUCAAAAAAAGUCUUAUAUCAGUUUCGCUUACAUAACCAGAUUUUUUUUUAAAACGAUUCGGUUAUAUAUCAGUACAUAUAAAAGACCGAAACGAGGAGUCACGUGAAUCUGGUUCUAGUCAUGUGAUCAUGUGAGCUGAAAAUGGCAGCUACGGGGGACGAGGCCGCGGCGAUGGAGAGCAUCAGUAAAGCACCGGUUCCUCCGAGCGACCUCAACCUCUCCGCCGAGACCGAGCGCAGGAGAGACGCGGCCGCGAACGACGCAGCGGAGAACCAAAAGGCCAAAAGACCCAGUAAUAACAAUGACGGAGGAGUGGAGACGGCAGAGGAGGCCACUGAACCUGCAGAACCUGAUAUCAAUGAGCUCUGCAGAGACAUGUUUGACAAAAUGGCAGUUUUCUUACAGGGAGAGCUCACAGCAACCUGUGAGGAUUACAAACUCCUGGAGAACAUGAACAAGCUCACCAGUCUGAAGUACAUGGAGAUGAAGGACAUAUCCAUCAACAUCAGCCGAAAUCUACAGGAUCUCAAUCAGAAAUACGCCAGCUUGCAGCCUUAUCUGGAUCAGAUUAACCAGAUCGAGGAGCAGGUUACGGCUCUGGAACAGGCUGCUUAUAAACUAGACACGUAUUCAAAGAAACUGGAGGCCAAGUUUAAGAAACUGGAGAAGCGGUGAAAAUGACUAGGAACUCUUUCAAAGCGGUCAUCCUCAAAAUUACUAUCUGUGAUUGAAACCCGUCUCUUCACGUCCAGCAGAGGGCAUAGGAAGCCCACGCAUGGUCCAACUCAACCUUUAACCUGAAUUUGACUAUAAGCCACAGUGAUGGAUCCAGAGCCAUGUAUGUUUGGCAGAAAUGGGCUUCCAUAGGUAACAACUCAAUUUUCAAUUUUGAGAGAAUUCAAUCGAAAAAUGAAGUUUGCCUCGGUCAGUUCUUCAUCACUCUGAAGUUACUCAUCUAGUGCUCAGAGUAAUUAGAUCCUGGAAUGCUGCUUAUAACACUCACUUAAAAGGAAAGGAAAAGUAACUGAGCACAAUGACUCAAUCAACACUUCCCCCUCGGUCCACGGGGCUGAAAAGGCCGGAUUUAUGCUGUUAGUGGGCUUCGGCGAUGAGAGAUGCUCAUUGGUUAGUCACCCCCACCCACCCCACCCUCGGAGACUCUGUUUCUCUGGUGCUUAUAUGUAAAACAAGCUUAGUUUCAAACACAGAGCGUGUCUUUAACAAACAUCUGGCAUAUAUCUAUGAUUACAGUCAUAUUUUGUUCAUCACGAGUUGCUGUGUUUGCUGGCUGAACUGGGUGCUACACCCUCCGAAAUAGUUUUAACAUUGCGGGGCAAAUCCCGGGCAGAGCAGCAGAGGUCACGGAUACAGCCAUUCGUAUGCAUGUGGAUGUAGUGCUUAAUCACAUUUUUUGACAAGACUAAUUAUGAGCCCCUGUUCGAGUGGGUAAUUAGUGUUGAGUGGCGCUAAUGUUCUAGUUGCCUCCGGGGCUUUUAAGUCCGCUAACCUGUGCUAACCUACGCACUUUGAAUUACUGCCAACAUUGGGUUUCUGGCAUUAUUUAGGACCGGCACAUUGACUAAUGGGCCAACAUUUUUUCUAAAAGGCAUGUUUUAUAUGUACGGGUUAACAUACAAUAUAUUAUGACAGGCAGUACCAUUUAGUGAUGCAGCUUUAAAAACUGUGCACUUGUACCCUUAAUGAUAUACAUCACAUAAGCAGUACUGACAGAUUAGACCAACAGCACAAUGUGAUAUUUCUUUAACAAAACGGUACAUUUAAACAAAGUUAAUAUUCAGUGACUUAGACUUCAGGCAAACAACCGCUGUCGGUGAAAAUAGUUAGCAGCAGUAACACAAACUGGUUGUAUUUCUGAAUGAAUCAGUUAAGCGAAUGAAUCAAUGACACUCACUUGUUUCGUUCCUCAAUAAAGCAGUGUCGUUGAAUGAAUCAGUUGAGUUCAUGAUUCAGUGAUUCACAUAUCAAAAUAUGAUACUAUAGACAAAACAUAGUAUUUUAAAGAAUAAAUUGCUGCUGCUUCCAGUGAGCUUAAAGUAUUGGACACUACACUUUAAGGCCGCAGGAGAGGAUUCGUGAUAACCGACACUUGUAGGUUAUGAGGAGGAGAGAAUGUAGGAUUGUAGGAGACAAUGAAAACAUAAUGAAGUAUGUUCGGAUUAAGUACAUACUACACACAUCCAUACUAUAUAGAACAUGCAUUAUAAUGGUCACAAAGUAAUUACUCUUUCAAAAUAAGUACAAAGUUAGAGAGUAUGUGAGCCAAUCCAACUAAAUGGAUCAGUUUUGAAUGAAUCUGUAAAGUUGUCAAAAGAAUAGUUUGAGUUUAAGAUUCGAUGAUUCGCUGAAUUUGGAAAAGGUAGAGACAAGAAAUACAGAAACAGUAGUAGAGGAUUUAGUUCCAGAUUCAGACAUUUAAUCGUUUCUGAAAGAAAUCAGUGAGUUGAAUGAGUUAUUCAAUGAAUCGCUCUCAAGGACAGUCACUUGCUGCCACCUACUGGCACAGCAAUGUACUGAACCAGUUAUUGAUUGAAUCGAGGCAGAUCUCAAGAAUGAAAACUUGUAGUUAAUUGUAAAGAGAUCAAGAUCAAGUCAUUUUAAUAAAAAAGUAUGAUGUCAACAACAAAAAAAAAAUUACCUAAUGAAAUGUAUGCAUGGAUGAUCUAUUCACAAUAAAAUUGAUGACAUCCACCCAUCGAUUCGGGAGAUCAAAAAAUAUGAAUUUAGAGAAGAGUUUGGGGGAUUUUAACAAAAAUAUAAUCCACUAUUAAAAUGAAACAAACACCGGCAAGCGCAGUGAUGCAAAGAGAGAAACCUGGUUGCUGUUACAUCAGCCCUCUUGGAACAAAAUCCACCAAUCAAGUUUGAGGACCGGAACGAACCGUUGUAUAAAUGAAGUUCAAUGCCAAAUCUCAGUGUGCUUUAUACUCUCUGUGUGAAAUACGCACUAAUACUGACACCUUCAAUGUCAUAACACACACACAAAAAAAGAUGAAAAGAGGAUUAUUUCAUUCCAAACAUGUGCUAAGGCCAACACAAAUCGGGUCUAAAUUAUUGAAGUGCAUUUCAGUGAAAGAAAAUGGCAAUAUGUCUAAAAGCAGAUGAUCUCUGUGUUGUAAAUGGCCGAUUGCCCGAUUCGGCCGCAGAAAAACACAUUAGCGCACCACAAAUGUGACAUGCAUGAACUCCUUCAACCUCAACAGAUUCUUCACCGAUGGGUUCAGAAGAAACACGGAGCUCGUAAAGCCGUGUGCGCUCACGAAUCAUUCAGAAUCUGUAUUUCUAUUAUGAGACACUUUAUUGCGAAAGAUGAAUUCGAAGAUGUCAUUUUUUUUAUUUGAUCUCUUUGAAAAAAUUACAUUUUGAUGCAAAAAUAACAUGUUUUGUCACAUUUAAUGACACAUAAAAUAAUGUUUUGUGAAAACAGGGGAAAUUAUAUGACAAACAACCGAACUGUGACCGCUUAAUGGCUUUUGCCUACCUAAUACAAGCAACAACAUAUUUGGGUUGUUGUGUACUUAUAAACACAUUUGGUUUCCUGUGCUGGCGUAUGACUCACCAUCCGACAGUUGUGUUUAAUUUAAGACGUGAGUGCGUGAUGCUAACAAUAUGCUAGCCUUCCUUUCAUCAAACAAUUCUUUAGUCAUAAGCCAUAGCCUUGAACUCCCACGUGACAAUGAACUGUGCUUAAUUGCAUUGUAUGAUUUUACAGAUAACAGACAUAUUUAUGAAAUUACAUGCAAAAUGUGCUUAAGGCCUACCUAAGUGGGUCAAAAAGUAUAAAAAAUGUAAUUAUUUUACACUUCAAGCUUCAAAAUCGUUCUUGGGGUGCACUUAGCUAUAAUAAGGCGAAUGUUUUGUAGUUGUUUUUAUGAAGUUCUGUAAAAAGAGACAAUCUCUUUAUGGCAGAAACAAAUGCAUGUGCAAGAGCUAUUCACUGUAAUUAUGUAAUUAAUUAAAUUUCUUAGUAUGUUCUUUUAAAGUGUAGCCUAUUAUUUCCAUAAACAGUACUCUAUGCUAAAGUGUACUUGAGCUUCCAAAGCAAGUUGAACAAUCUCUGAUUUUAAAAACAGGAAAAACCACAAAGAACACCCCUUCAAAACUCUCGGGAAAAUGAUAUUUUCUGAGUAAAAGACAGCUACACUAGAAACUAGAGCACAUAGCCUUUAACAAAGUACAGAAAUUAAGAUCCAAGAUAGACUUUCUUUGAUGAGAAGAAGCGAUAAAGAGCUCCUUGGAAUUGUGUGAUUGGCGUUUGAAUUUGCGGUGAAAGAAAUUCCUGGUUUUCCUCUGGGAACACUGAACCACAGGACACCGCUUGUGCUGAAGUAAAUAAACAUACAUAAAUCUAAGUCCUUCCCCUGGGAGCCCGUGAGAGGUUGUGUUUGCGAGUGCGCGAUCGGGGAAACGCACGAAAUGUGUUAAAUGUGUAAGAGCUGAGAGAUUGGACAGAUCUAUUUAUCUGAAUGAAUUUGAUAGAAUUUGCAGGUACUUUUUUGUAACAAAAAUAUAUCUAGUUUUAAAAAUGAGAAAUAACUGAUGUUAUUUUCUGCGAGAACGGCGAGCUCUGGCUUCCUGGCUGACCUUUGACUCGACGUUUGAAGCAACUUAUGCGAUACGUCGAAUGUUGAGUCAAAAGUCAGCCAAGAAGCCGGAACUCGGUGCUCAGUCAGUUAUUUACGUUAUAAUUUUAAAACUAGAAAUAUUUUUUGUUACUAAAACCCUGCUGGACAUGUGAUAACACCUAGAGUGCUUCGGGUGAGUAAAAUAUUGGGCAGUUUUCAUUUGUGGGUGAACCAUGCCUUUAAUGCACUAUCAUGUUGUAAAAAUGCCCUACACCAAAUCCAACCCUAAACCUACCCGAUGGUGUUAACAAAUGCAAAACUGGUAUAAAAACACAUUUGUUGAUGCAACCUUGCCAUUUCAACUUCCUUUUAUGAAGAUUUGAACUAUUUUGUCGAGCCAUAGUUACAUAGUAAAGAGCUCCUCGCCUCUUAAAGGAAUAGUUGUGCACCCAGGUAUGUUUAUGCCAUGGGACCAGGUAGUCAGUAAAACAUACAAUUGUAUUUAAAACAUUUACAGGCCUAUAUAUAAUUAAAAGUUAAAGCACUGAAAUGCAAUUGCAGCUCCUUGUAGUAAAUGCCGCUUUUAAUUUCGAAGGCUUCAGAGUAUCCUUCCCCUAGCGCUGACCCACAGCUGGAUCCCUUCGGCGGGAGAGAGUGGAUUAUAGGAGAGGAUAUUGGGAUACUUUAGACCAGAACCCAAAUGCUCUUCUCACUAAUCAGAAGCAGACUGCAGUUCUGGUCACUACCCCUUCCUUCCCUUGUCACACACAAGCACGAAAACAAAACUACCCAUUUGACGUACAGUGUUGGGGCUACGGUCUCCACGCUCUGCUGCAGUAAACCCCAUCAGCGAGGGCGCAUAAUGCAUCCCUCCCACCAGGCCUGAGUAAUCAAAAACAGCUGCUGUGAUUAAAUGGGAUCUCCUAGCAGCAAAAAAACAUUAUUUAUGCUUUUGCCUUAUUAGCUUUUCUCAUUCGAUCUCCCUGUCCAUCUGUCUCUAGCGCGUGAUGUGAAUCACUCAAGGUUUCCCGUCAAUCACAGAACUGAUAAAUGAAGAAGCAUGCAGAACACGCAGAUAAGCCCGUUCCUGUAUGAUAGUGACUGAAGGAGACAAAUCGAUCAUGCACAUAACACACAAUUAUACACACAGAGGACAAUAGUUACAUUGCCUCAUAGAGUGUAGCACAUACUCUUACUCGAAACUCGACACUAUGUAGAGCAAACUGUUUGCAGGGCAUAUUUCAACAUUAACAAUGUCUAUUACAUAAAUGAUUUAGUUUAUUGAAUAUUGCAAUGUUUAGUUUUGCUACAAUAAACAGCGAGAAAUGCUACCUGAUGGUGAGUACACUUUAGUGUUUUUUACUUUUGUACUUUUG